AAGCCGGAAGAGAUUCUGGUGUGCCUUCGGAACUGUAAGACAGGUGCUGCAUGGCUGUCGUCAGCUCGUGUGUGAAAUGUUGGGUUAAGUCCCGUAACGAGCGCAACCCUUGUCCUUAUUUGCCAGCACGUAAUGGUGGGAACUCUAAGGAGACUGCCGGUGACAAACCGGAGGAAGGUGGGGACGACGUCAAGUCAUCAUGGCCCUUACGAGUAGGGCUACACACGUGCUACAAUGGCCGGUACAAAGGGCUGCGAGCUCGCGAGAGUCAGCGAAUCCCUUAAAGCCGGUCUCAGUCCGGAUCGGAGUCUGCAACUCGACUCCGUGAAGUCGGAAUCGCUAGUAAUCGUGAAUCAGAAUGUCACGGUGAAUACGUUCCCGGGCCUU
rnacentral:rRNA from 1 species